GCAAGGGAAAGAAAAACCCAAAAUAACAAGUAUUGGCCAAGAUGUGGAGAUAUUGGAACCAUUGUGCAUUGCUGAUGAGAGCGUAUAAUAGUGCAGCUGCUGUGGAAAACAGUUUCUCCUCAGAAAGUUAAACAGAUUUUCCAUGUGACCCAGCAAUCCCACUCUGAGGUAUAUACUCCAAAGAACUGGAAACAGGGACUUAGGAGCUAGCUACACACCAGUUUUCAUAGCAGCAUUAUCCACAGGAGCUGUGAUACUGUGUUUUAUAAUAAGAAAUACAUAUUUGGUCUGUUAAAAAAGAAACAAGAGACCUAAAAUGGAGUCACUUGUGCUAAGACCCAUGGCAGCAAACAAGACUUAAUUCCUAACCUGACUACAGUUUCAACACCUUCCGGAAAUAUGACUUUAACCAGUCCAUCUGGAAUUAUCUGGUCAGCACUAGUGAGGUAAUCUGCCUAAUAGACCCCUGCCUUCCUGCAGAGGAAGGAGACCUGGCCUCAAACAAUCCACUCUUUGCUAGAAACUUCCUUUUUCUCCCCCCCCCCAACUUCUUCCUAUAAAAGCCUUCCAUUUUGUACAGCUCCCCAGAGCUCCCUUCUAUCUGCUAAGAUGGGAUGCUUCUCAUUUCAUGAAUCAUUAAAUGAAGCCAAUUAGAUCGUCAAAUGAAUUUUGUUUUUUAACAGGUCUCUGUGCUAUUUCUGGCAUCGAGCUCCUAAAGCCCUUGGUAUUUCCUAGGUGAUGGGAGCUGGAGGUCUAUGACGUUAGUAAGGUGGCUUUUGGACGGCACCUUAAGAUGGAGGCUGGCUACCAAGAGAACAGCCAAGUAUUUAAAGGGUUGGAACUUUCAGUCCCAUUCCCCUGGUCUCCAGGGAGAUGAGAGGGGCUGGAGGUUAGAUCAGUUGCCAAUGACCAGUGAUUAAACAAUUGUGCCCAUGUAAUGAAGCCUCCAAAAAACCCAAAAGGAUUCAGAGAACUUGAUGAACACGUGAAGAUUUGGGGAGUAUGAUGUGCUUAGGCUUCAGGCUCUUUCCCCAUACCUUGAACUAUGUAUCUCUUCAUCUGGCAGUUGAUCCAUAUCGUUUGAUAUCCUUUGCAAACUUAAAAAACAAAAUUCAACGGAGUAAAUUUUAAAGAUGUUAUUGGCUAUAUUCAACAAUUCACGAAUCAGGCAGCAUCCAAUGAGCAGAAAGGAUCUCCAAGGAGCCACACAAAAUGAAAGGGGGCAGAAAUAAGAAAGUCCCACUAGACAAAAGAAGUGGGUUGGUUAUUACAAGGUUCCUUUCCUUUAGGGGAUGCAGGGUCUAUCAGGCAGAUUAUCUAGUGCUGAUCAGACGAUUCCUGAUAAGGUUUAAGAUUCCAUUUCUUGGAGAACCAACGCUAAUUAAGUCUUGGUUUGGUGAUGUGGGGCUUAUCAUAAGUGAGUCCAUUUUGAGCUUAGUUUCUUGUUUUUAACAAUUCCCCCCUUUUGAUCAGACUCUCAGCCAAACUGAAGGAUGUGAUGAUCAAAAUGUAAGGCAUCAGCACUCCUCCCAGUGGUUGCUCUAGAAUCCUCUGUGUUUUGUUGAAUUUUGUGGUAUUCACAGGUCACAAAGUGAGGUUUGCAUUCUUGAAGUUAAUCGUUCUCUUCAUUCCUUUUCUGACAGUCUAGUGUUAGGGAGAUCAUUUGCAUGGUGAUCAAUGGCUGGGAAUGUGCAUUUAAAGCUUUUGAGAGAGUAUGUCACACCAAGGAGCCUACUAUGCUUAUUAUAAGCAGAAUAAUUCCCAACAUGUGGAGUGCACUUCAGAGCCAUGGUCCCAAGAUCCCAGCCAAUCAGCAAUAAGUCAAAGAAAUACCCUGUUGAGGGAAUCUCUUUUUAAAACUAAUUGGCUUAUUCAGUGAUCUUGGGUUUCCACAUCCUCACCUACAUUUGGAAUUACACGCCUCUCUGAUUAUUGCCAACCUAAUUGGCAUGCUUGUUUUUUCUGCCCUAGGCUGAUUUCUGAGGACAGAGCAGACAAAGAGAAUUUUGCUGGCAACUUAGAGGUGGUACAAAGACAUAAAACUAAAUAAUAUUGAUUUUUAUAGUAAGAACAUGAAUGCCCUUCAAAUUCUCUCUCAAUAAGUCUUAGGGGGGCAGAGUGUAACCUUAACCCCUUUCUCUCCCUAAAGACUCUGAAACUAAGGUUUGUGUGGUUCCUGUGUACUUGGUGCAAGUGACAGUUUUUCUACAUACAGGAAAAUACUUUUGUUUAAGUCAAAAGGCGGGUUAAUUUAAAGAAACAUAUUAAGUGGUAGGUGGUACCUGGAUAGGACAUAAAUUAUGAAGAUGGUGCACAUCAUUGGGGUUAAAGGAACCUAACAUAAAACAAGGAUCAGCUGGCAGGGAACAGAAGGAUCCUGCGUGGAUGAUCUGGAUUCAAAUGCCGACGUUUUCUGAGCAAGUUAUCUCUCUAGGUCUACUUCCCCGUGCUGUAAAACAGCAGUAACAACAUGCAUGUAUGAGAUUACUAAGAAAAUUAAAUGAGAUCUUUUACAAGGGGCUCUAGCAUUGGGAAGGGCACAGAAAGUGGUAUCAGAUCCUUGGAAUAUAGAGGCAUGGCUUUCCGCCCCACCCUUGGAUAUUUGCCUUCUCUGUGUGUAUCCUGGCCUUCGUGAAUAAUUUUGUCAUGCUUUUUCAGCUGAAACAGUACCCCAGGGCACUCACAGGAACUGCUGUGGAGAGUAGAGGCGGAAGUCAGGCUGGGGACAGGGGUCAGGUUAGCAAGAGCUAGUCCUCUGUCUCCUAUUGUAACCCCCUCUGCUGGGGACCAGUGUUUCCAUUUCAGCAGGGCACAUCCUACUGCAAUGGGGAAACCUGGCGGUGGUGGCAUCUGCUGAGUCCCAGUGUUAGCCUAGGAAAGCAGCUGGGGCCUGCAGCUCCUGAGCACCUGUGCUGGGGUCACACGGCAGUGGGGGCAGAGGUCAGGGUGGCCUGGAUGAAAGCGGCAGAUCUGAGCAGAAGACACACACUGAGGCUAUUUACUGUGUAAGUCUUAGUGAUCCUCGUGUCUAAGAUGUGGAGCGAGCCCAGUAAAGGCCCCCUACACCUCUAAUCAGGUGGGAGGGAAUUAGGAGAUAUUCAUUUAUGCAACAAAUAUGAAAAUAGACUCAGUACUCCAAUUAAAUGCUUGCAUUCAUUUCCUAUUGCUGUGGUAACAAAUUGCCACAAACUUAGUGGCUUCAGCCAACACACAUUUAUUCUCUUACGGUUCUGGAGACCAAUGUCCAAAAUGGGUCUUAAUGGGCUAAAAUCCAGGUGUUGGCAAGGCUUCAUUCCCUUCUGGAGGAUCUAGGGGAGAAUCCACUGCCUGCCUUUUCCAGCUUCAUUCCUGGCUUCAUGUCUGUCUUCCGUCUUCAAAGAGAGUAAUGGCCAGUGGGGCCUUUCUCAUGACGCCAUCUCUCUGAAUCUGACCCCCCUGCUUUCCUCUGAUAAGGACUCUUGUGAUUUCAUCAGGCCCGCAGGAUAAUACAGGAUAACCUCCCCUUUUCAAGAUCCUUAACUGAAUCACACCUGCAAAGUCCUCUUUACCAUGUAGGAUAACAUACUCACAGGUUCUCACAGGAUACAUACUUACAGGAUAACAUACUCACAUACUCAAAGGACAUGGACAUCUUUGGAGGCCCAUUAUUCUGCCAUGGCCAGGCUCCCCUCAUGGGAUCCCAUCAUAGCCCAGACCGAUUUCGAUAGGUUUUAGUCCAGUGUCAGAGAGCACACUUUUGUAUUGCUUGCCCUGGAAACAAUUCCAGGGUUUUCUCCAGUUGUGCUAACUGGGUCACAUGCUCACUACCCAACCAAUUGCUAUGGCUGGUGGGCUGGACCUGAGUCUCAGUCUCACUCUGGAACUGAGUGGAGUCAGUUCCCAUAGUGACCUGGAGGAGAGAAGGUGUGAUGCGUCCAAGGAAAAUCAUGGAGGCUUUCAGGAAAAGAGGGAGUGGAUGCUGGCCAAUAUAGACUAUAAUGAUCUUGUAAAACAUUAUGAUGUCCAUAUGUAGGCAGAAGAAAGGGUGAGUGACAUAGCCAGCAUGAGGUAGGGCUAUGAUUUGAAAUUGUGUGGGACCAGUUCUUGCCAGGACACUCUCUUCCUCACCCUGUGUCUAAUGUGGCAUUAGAAGAUCUGUUUAGUGCUGGCAAUGUCAUGUAGCACACAGCUGGUGGCCUGAGUGACAAUCUCAUUCGAGGUUAAUAUAGGACAUUUUGAGGAAGGUACAUGGUUAACACAAUCACUGGCAAGGUAGAUACCCUCAGAGAAAAGGGAAAUUUCCAUUUCACUCCUAAAAGAAUCUUUAGAAGCCAAAACCUAAAUCAAAGAGCAAAGUAUAAUAACUUCCUCUGGGCAAAUUUAUAAUUAAUCCUGGAUUAAUUGGCCUUAAUGAAGUUGAAUUAAUUACUAGCUGCUUGUAAAGAACUUUGAACUACCUUAGUACAAAAUGGCAUUAAAGAAACAGAAAGGAACCAGCAUCGCAUUAACAUUAAGAACAAAUCCCAAAUAAUCGCAAUUCUGCAGGCCGUUUCCUGUCAAUCAUUCCCCAGGGACCAUGCUCAGCCUGUGAAACUGUGGGGGGACCCUGGAAUCUGCCGCAGAGGAGGAUGUAUUUGUGGACUGGAAGUUUGGGGUCAGUUUCAUGGAGGGUUUUUGUCAUUUACUUCCUCAAACUGUGACUAGUGCGGAACAUAAUAAGGAGGAAGCUUCCUGAAGUUGUGGCAGGCCAAAGGCAUAGCUGUUGGUGGAUGAACGGGUAAGCAAAUGGUGGUCCGUCCACUCAGUGGAAUACUACACAACCACAAGAAGGCAAUCAUGAUGUGGUGACAUGUGGCCACGUGGACGAAUCUCAAAUGCACUAUACUAGGGGUGCAGGAACAAGGUGCAGGAACAAGGAAGUUACACCAGGCAUUGACUGGUUUAAGAUUCCAUUUCUUGGAGAGCCAAAUUUGUAACUAAGUUAAUGCUCAGUUUGGUGACACAGGGCUUCGCAUAAGUGACUCCAUUUUGGGCCGGUUGUCGUGUUUUUAACAGGGUUGAGGUUCAGGGCAGGCUGUCCCCAAAUAUGUCACUUUGGCAUAUGGAUUAUUCGGAAUUAAAGUACUUAGGACACAGUGCAAUAAAACCAUGCUGGCCCUCUUUUGUCUCCCUGAAAGCAGGAAAUAAAUUUCCCACACGAAGGGUACCCGGGUAGAAGACAUCCUUAUCGCCAGAGAUGGGGAAUUCAGGGCCCAGAAGGCUGUAUAAAUAAACCUCGUUUACUUCUUCGCUAAUUUGCCAUGCUAAGCCCAAGCUUCUUUUUCUUGUCGAUUCUUCACAAAUGUAUUAUUUCUUUAUCUAAAACAUAAAAAAAGCUGUCUGCUCUAGUCACUUCUUUGAGUCUCAUAUUUUUAUGAGUUCUCAUAUGUACAAAACCAAAUUUGCCUGGCUAACUUGUGAAUCUGUCUUAUAUCAAUUUAAUUAUUAGGUUAGCCACAGAAUCUAGGAGGGAAGAAGGGUAAAGUUUUCUCUUACAAUUCAACUCAGUUCUGACACUAUGUGCCUGAAGCUAGCAUCAGCUUCCGUAUGUUAAGGGCUCAGUCCUAUGAGACUGCACCCAACCUGUUCAGCAGCCAACUGCAAGUUUAGUUUGUCACCACACUUCUGAGGACCGGCUCUAAAUCAGAAGUUCCAAUGACCCCUUCCUCAAAUUUGAUUAAUUUGCUACAGCAGCUCACAGAAUUCAGAGAAACAACUUACUACUGGGUUACAAGUUCAUUACAAAAGGAUUGGGGUUCCUGGGUGGCUCAGUUGGUUAAGCGUCCAA